rnacentral:rRNA from 1 species
AUUGAACGCUGGCGGCAGGCUUAACACAUGCAAGUCGAGCGGGGUGAUGGUGCUUGCACUAUCACUUAGCGGCGGACGGGUGAGUAAUGCUUAGGAAUCUGCCUAUUAGUGGGGGACAGCAUCUCGAAAGGGAUGCUAAUACCGCAUACGUCCUACGGGAGAAAGCAGGGGAUCACUUGUGACCUUGCGCUAAUAGAUGAGCCUAAGUCGGAUUAGCUAGUUGGUGGGGUAAAGGCCUACCAAGGCGACGAUCUGUAGCGGGUCUGAGAGGAUGAUCCGCCACACUGGGACUGCGACACGGCCGAGACUCCUACGGGAGGCAGCAGUGGGGAAUAUUGGACAAUGGGGGGAACCCUGAUCCAGCCAUGCCGCGUGUGUGAAGAAGGCCUUAUGGUUGUAAAGCACUUUAAGCGAGGAGGAGGCUCUUUUGGUUAAUACCCAAGAUGAGUGGACGUUACUCACAGAAUAAGCAUCGGCUAACUCUGUGCCAGCAGCCGCGGUAA